UCUAUUUGCAAAAACCCAGGCCUUUAUAUUGGCUAAUGCCUGAGAGCGCCAUUUUGGCCUGUUUAGCGUGCAUAUUCUGUAGACGCACUGCUUGGCCACCUUUUGCACCUGCAAGUGGAGUGGUAUGAUGUCCAGCAGUGCAUCUAGGGCCGCUCCCGGUGUCGAGGAGAAGGCACCUGUUACUGUUAAACAAGCCGUGCGUUGCAGGCUGUUUAGAGUGUCUAUUGCUUUUCUAUUGCCGUCUUUUGACUGGUUUUGUUACACCAGACUGCGGAGGCGUAGGUGACAAUUGGCCUCACUACCGCUGUGUAUAACCACAUAGCAAUUUUGAUCUUAAGCCCCAUCUUGCUCCUGCCAUUCGACAGCAUGACCACAUGGCCAUUUUCGCUUUUUGUAGAAUGUUUCUCAGGUGAGGGUUCCAAGUUAACUUUUGGUCAAAGGUGACCCCUAGAUACUUGACCUCUGCCGAGAACGGUAUUAUUUGUCCAUUAAGUCUUGGUUUUGUGAGUUUAUCGAGCUUCCGUUUCCUUGUGAAUGGUUAAAUGGCUAUUACAGUCUUGCUCGGAUUAAUGGACAAGUCAUUUUCUCUACACCAUUUGAAUAUUAUGUUUAGAGCUCCUUGCAUUAGGUUGGAUAUUGUGUUGAGGCAAGGGCCUUUGACGAUGACUACAAGGUCGUCGGCAUAUCCUUGUGUAUCAAAGU